rnacentral:rRNA from 1 species
GCGUGGGAACGUACCUUUUGGUUCGGAACAACACAGGGAAACUUGUGCUAAUACCGGAUAAGCCCUUACGGGGAAAGAUUUAUCGCCGAAAGAUCGGCCCGCGUCUGAUUAGCUAGUUGGUGAGGUAACGGCUCACCAAGGCGACGAUCAGUAGCUGGUCUGAGAGGAUGAUCAGCCACAUUGGGACUGAGACACGGCCCAAACUCCUACGGGAGGCAGCAGUGGGGAAUAUUGGACAAUGGGCGCAAGCCUGAUCCAGCCAUGCCGCGUGAGUGAUGAAGGCCCUAGGGUUGUAAAGCUCUUUUGUGCGGGAAGAUAAUGACGGUACCGCAAGAAUAAGCCCCGGCUAACUUCGUGCCAGCAGCCGCGGUAAUACGAAGGGGGCUAGCGUUGCUCGGAAUCACUGGGCGUAAAGGGUGCGUAGGCGGGUCUUUAAGUCAGGGGUGAAAUCCUGGAGCUCAACUCCAGAACUGCCUUUGAUACUGAGGAUCUUGAGUUCGGGAGAGGUGAGUGGAACUGCGAGUGUAGAGGUGAAAUUCGUAGAUAUUCGCAAGAACACCAGUGGCGAAGGCGGCUCACUGGCCCGAUACUGACGCUUGAGGCACGAAAGCGUGCGGAGCAAACAGGAU